rnacentral:rRNA from 1 species
GACAGAGGAUGCAAGCGUUAUCCGGAAUGAUUGGGCGUAAAGCGUCUGUAGGUGGCUUUUUAAGUCCGCCGUCAAAUCCCAGGGCUCAACCCUGGACAGGCGGUGGAAACUACCAAGCUGGAGUACGGUAGGGGAGACUGGAAUUCCUGGUGUAGCGGUGAAAUGCGCAGAUAUCAGGAGGAACACCGAUGGCGAAGGCAGGUCUCUGGGCAUUAACUGACGCUGAGGAGCGAAAGCAUGGGGAGCGAACAGG